rnacentral:lncRNA from 1 species
UGCUCGAUCUCGAUUUUUGAUUCUCUACUCUCCCUUUUUGACAGCAUCAAUUAAGAUCUUAAGGAAUUUUGAAGAGAGAAAAAAAAAGAUAACAUAAAGGACAUAUUUUCUCUACUCCCCCUUUUUGAUACCAUAUUUUAUUUCUUUACUCCCUCUCUUUUAUUAUUUAUUUCUCUACUCUCCCUCACUAUAGCAAUUAUAAAAGACAUAUCAAUUUGCUCAUUUAGAAGAUAUUGCUAUUCAUGAUAUUUCAUCACACAUAUAUGAGUCAUUUUUUAUAUCUUAUAAUUAAAAUAUUUUAAUUGAUCCCAUUCAUAAACAUUAAUCCAAAGACAUUCA